rnacentral:rRNA from 1 species
UACGUAGGUGGCAAGCGUUGUCCGGAAUUAUUGGGCGUAAAGCGCGCGCAGGUGGUUUCUUAAGUCUGUUGUGAAAGCCCCGGGCUCAACCUGGGAAUGGCAAUGGAUACUGGCAAGCUAGAGUGCGGUAGAGGGUAGUGGAAUUCCCGGUGUAGCGGUGAAAUGCGUAGAGAUCGGGAGGAACACCAGUGGCGAAGGCGGCUACCUGGACCAGCACUGACACUGAGGCACGAAAGCGUGGGGAGCAAACAGG